UUCCCUUCCUGACACUCGCUUUUUAAUCAAAUUAAAGAAAAAAAAGGGGGGAGUCUAUUAACUGCAUUUGUAUUCAAACCUAUAAUGGUUGUUUCUACUACUCUCUCUCUCUCUCCCUCUGUCUCUGUGUCUCUCUCUCUCUCCUCUCUGUCUCUGUCUUUCUCCCUCUCUCUCUCUCUCUCUCUCUCUCUCUCUCUCUCUCUCUCUCUCUCUCUCUCUCUCUCUCCCUCUGUCUCUCUGUCUCUCUGUCUCUGUCUUUCUCUCUCUCGCUCUGUCUCUCUGUCUCUGUCUUUCUCCCUGUCUUUCUCGCUCUCCCUCUGUCUCUGUGUCUCUCUCACUCUCAGUCUCUCUAUAUUUAUAAUUAUAUGAGGUACUGUGUGAAGACAGAGAGCUGAUGGUAUAUGAGGUACUGUGUGAAGACAGAGAGCUGAUGGUAUAUGAGGUACUGUGUGAAGACAGAGAGCUGAUGGUAUAUGAGGUACUGUGUGAAGACAGAGAGCUGAUGGUAUAUGAGGUACUGUGUGAAGACAGAGAGCUGUUGGUAUAUGAGGUACUGUGUGAAGACAGAGAGCUGAUGGUAUAUGAGGUACUGUGUGAAGACAGAGAGCUGUUGGUAUAUGAGGUACAGUGUGAAGACAGAGAGCUGAUGGUAUAUGAGGUACAGUGUGAAGACAGAGAGCUGAUGGUAUAUGAGGUACUGUGUGAAGACAGAGAGCUGAUGGUAUAUGAGGUACUGUGUGAAGACAGAGAGCUGAUGGUAUAUGAGGUACUGUGUGAAGACAGAGAGCUGAUGGUAUAUGAGGUACUGUGUGAAGACAGAGAGCUGAUGGUAUAUGAGGUACUGUGUGAAGACAGAGAGCUGAUGGUAUAUGAGGUACUGUGUGAAGACAGAGAGCUGAUGGUAUAUGAGGUACUGUGUGAAGACAGAGAGCUGAUGGUAUAUGAGGUACUGUGUGAAGACAGAGAGCUGAUGGUAUAUGAGGUACUGUGUGAAGACAGAGAGCUGAUGGUAUACCUGGAUUCGGUCUUAUGUAGUAACAUUUGACAUUGUGUUUUUUUACAUUGGAUAAAAGUAGAGACUCGGAGCUACAACAUGGUAUAUUAUACACCACUGUUGAGGAAACAAUGAGAAAGUAUUUCUGCUUUGAAAGUUGAUCAACUUGUAAACUCACUUUUAAGAAAACCGUCUUUCAAUGUUUUUGUAUCUAGUGAAGAGCUCUCCUAUGUCUCCAUCCAUUCAGCAUUGUUCACACCCUCUUAAGCCUUAGCUCUGUCCUCACAACUACAGUCAAAGCACCCAAGCUAACUGGCUAACAUUGGCUAGCUACAUCCAGAUGCAUAAUGAGAGAACACCCCACUCUGACCAUUUUACUCCCCCUAGCAGAGCUGGUUAGGCUUUUGUUAUGUUAUCCAGAGCGUUGGUGACUGUAACUGUGCUGCUAGCAACCAUUGAAUUAUGUUUUCCGACAUUUACUGACACUGGUAAUAUUCAAUGGGUGUUGAACGUACAAAAAUGUAUCAGUUAUUCUGCACUCUGGCACACUACGUCGAGAGUAUUUUGUUAAUUAAGAAAUGUAGCUAGAUAGCUAGCUAGGUAUACAAUGAAUCCAAACACAUGACGUAACGUUAGUUAGCGGGCCAGCCAGAUAACGUUAGCUAGCUAGCUAACAGUACACUUUAACUUGAAAUGAAAAUACUUUGUCAAAAUUAGACGUCUUUCGUUAAGACAUGUAGCUAGCUAGCUGGCUAGCUAAACAAUGGACCAUAAUCACAAGUCAUGACGUUACUACCCUGCAUGAAUCUGUAGGUAGCUAACCAACUAGGUUUUAAUGUCUGUAACUAGUCAAGCAAAUGUGUCUGAGAUACGAAGAAUAAGAUCAUACACAUAACGUUAUAGCUAGCGACCCAGCCAGCUAACGUUAGCUAGCUAACAGUACACUUUCUGUCAAAAUUAGAAACAUGUAAAAAAAUCUUACCAGUAUCCAUCAUGGUUGGAUGCCUAUCCUGUCUGAUGCCAUGCAUGGUUGCCUUAAGUUUGAAGAUGUAACUAUCAUACUCAAAUUCCACUGAUUUCAAAACUCGGUCCUCCGGAAAGUGGAGAGCGUACACUAGCUAGCGAGCCAACCAGUUAACGUUAGCGAGCCAACCAGUUAACGCUAACGAGCCAACCAGUUAACGUUAGCGAGCCAACCAGUUAACGCUAGGGAGCCAACCAGUUAACGCUAGCGAGCCAACCAGUUAACGUUAGUGAGCCAACCAGU